rnacentral:rRNA from 1 species
GACACGGCCCAAGACUCCUACGGGAGGCAGCAGUGGGGAAUUUUCCGCAAUGGGCGUCAAGCCUGACGGAGCAAUACCGCGUGAGGGAGGACGGCUUUUGGGUUGUAAACCCUCUUUUAUUGGGGAAGAAGGUCUGACGGUACCCAAUGAGAUACAGCAUCGGCUAACUCCGUGCCAGCAAGCCGCGGUAAUACGGAGGAUGCAAGCGUUAUCCGGGAAUUAUUGGGCUGUAAAGGGUCCGCAGGUGGUUUGACAAGUCUUGCUGUUAAAGCGUGGAGCUUAACUCCAUAAAGGCAGUGGAAACUGUGAGACUAGAGUUCGGUAGGGGUCGACGGGAAUUCCCAGUGUAGCGGUGAAAUGCGUAGAUAUUGGCGAAGAACACCGUGCGGCGA